CAGAAACAUUGCCUGAAGCUACUCAUCUAUUUGAACAUUUACUGAUCCAAGAUGAAAGCCUUUCUUUUAAUCAUUCUGGGUGUGUAUUUGAUUGCCUCUGUCAGUGUCGUCAUGGCAGAUCAUGGGUGCAACAGUCCUUUGCCAGGAUAUCACAAUCAUACAGUUUGCAGAGAUUAUUGCUACCAUGAACGCUUCUGCGAAGGUGGAUACUGCAACAGUUUUUCAGUUUGGACUUAUUGUUUAUGUGUUGGCUGCUACCCCGAUCAUCAAGGGUAAAAUACAAAU